UUUGACCUCAAAUCAGGUAGGGC
rnacentral:rRNA from 1 species